GAUGAACGCUGGCGGCGUGCCUAAUACAUGCAAGUCGAGCAAACAGACGAGGAGCUUGCUCCAUCGACGUUAGCGGCGGACGGGUGAGUAACACGUAGGUAACCUACCUAUAAGACUGGGAUAACUUCGGGAAACCGGAGCUAAUACCGGAUAAUAUUUCGAACCGCAUGGUUCGAUAGUGAAAGAUGGCUUUGCUAUCACUUAUAGAUGGACCUGCGCCGUAUUAGCUAGUUGGUAAGGUAACGGCUUACCAAGGCAACGAUACGUAGCCGACCUGAGAGGGUGAUCGGCCACACUGGAACUGAGACACGGUCCAGACUCCUACGGGAGGCAGCAGUAGGGAAUCUUCCGCAAUGGGCGAAAGCCUGACGGAGCAACGCCGCGUGAGUGAUGAAGGUCUUCGGAUCGUAAAACUCUGUUAUUAGGGAAGAACAAACGUGUAAGUAACUGUGCACGUCUUGACGGUACCUAAUCAGAAAGCCACGGCUAACUACGUG
rnacentral:rRNA from 1 species